CAGCCGCCGCGGUAAUACAGAGGAUGCAAGCGUUAUCCGGAAUGAUUGGGCGUAAAGCGUCUGUAGGUGGCUUUUCAAGUCCGCCGUCAAAUCCCAGGGCUCAACCCUGGACAGGCGGUGGAAACUACCAAGCUGGAGUACGGUAGGGGCAGAGGGAAUUUCCAGUGGAGCGGUGAAAUGCGUUGAGAUCGAAAAGAACACCAACAGCGAAAGCACUCUGCUGGGACGACACUGACACUAAGAGACGAAAGCUAGGGGAGCAAAUGGGAUUAGAUACCCGUGUAGUCCCUGUCUCUUAUAC
rnacentral:rRNA from 1 species